GAAGAACGCUGGCGGCGUGCUUAACACAUGCAAGUCGAACGAAGUGGCGAACGGGUGAGUAACGCGUAAACAACCUGCCCUUCAGAGGGGGACAACAGUUGGAAAAGACUGCUAAUACAGCAUACAGCAGAGGGGGAUUGGGUUGGAUGAGCUAGUGGGGGGGGUAACGGCCCACCAAGGCGAUGAACAGGAGCCGGUCUGAGAGGAUGUACGGCCACAUUGGGACUGGGACACGGCCCAGACUCCUACGGGAGGCAGCAGUGGGGAAUCUUCCGCCAUGGACGAAAGUCUGACGGAGCAACGCCGCGUGAGUGAUGACGGCCUUCGGGUUGUAAAGCUCUGUUAAUCGGGACGCGGUACCGGAAUAGAAAGCCACGGCUAACUACGUGCCAGCCGCCGCGGUAAUAC
rnacentral:rRNA from 1 species